GGCUUACCAAGGCGACGAUCAGUAGCCGACCUGAGAGGGUGAUCGGCCACAUUGGAACUGAGACACGGUCCAAACUCCUACGGGAGGCAGCAGUGGGGAAUAUUGCACAAUGGGCGAAAGCCUGAUGCAGCAACGCCGCGUGAGUGAUGAAGGCCUUCGGGUCGUAAAACUCUGUCCUCAAGGAAGAUAAUGACGGUACUUGAGGAGGAUGCCCCGGCUAACUCCGUCCCAGCAGCCGCGGUAAUACGUAGGGGGCUAGCGUUAUCCGGAUUUACUGGGCGUAAAGGGUGCGUAGGCGGUCUUUCAAGUCAGGAGUGAAAGGCUACGGCUCAACCGUAGUAAGCUCUUGAAACUGGGAGACUUGAGUGCAGGAGAGGAGAGUGGAAUUCCUAGUGUAGCGGUGAAAUGCGUAGAUAUUAGGAGGAACACCAGUUGCGAAGGCGGCGCUCUGGACUGUAACUGACGCUGAGGCACGAAAGCGUGGGGAGCAAACAGGAUUAGAUACCCUGGUAGUCCACGCUGUA
rnacentral:rRNA from 1 species